AUUGAACGCUGGCGGCGUGCCUAACACAUGCAAGUCGAGCGGUAACAGGUGUAGCAAUACAUGCUGACGAGCGGCGGACGGGUGAGUAACGCUUGGGAAUCUGCCUAUUAGUGGGGGACAACCCGGGGAACUCGGGCUAAUACCGCAUACGCUCUACGGAGGAAAGCCGGGGACCGCAAGGCCUGGCGCUAAUAGAUGAGCCCAAGUCGGAUUAGCUAGUUGGUAGGGUAAUGGCCUACCAAGGCGACGAUCCGUAACUGGUCUGAGAGGACGACCAGUCACACCGGAACUGAGACACGGUCCGGACUCCUACGGGAGGCAGCAGUGGGGAAUCUUGCGCAAUGGGCGAAAGCCUGACGCAGCGACG
rnacentral:rRNA from 1 species